rnacentral:tRNA from 1 species
GUGCGGUCUGGCCCGGAGGAAGCUCGCCGGGCUGACGGCCCUGCCGCGGCUGGUUCGGAUCCCGGCCCGGCUCGGUGCCGGGCUGUGCGCC